rnacentral:tRNA from 1 species
AUUGUUGAGCUCCAUUGGCGGGAUUUCGCCGUCUUCGUUUCUCUUUCUUCGCGGACGAACACGCGCCAGGGGCUGAGCGCUGAGCGGUGCAUCGACUUCACGUCAGGUGCGCGCCGGCAUGUCUCUCGUGUUAGGGGCUUGUAGCUCAGUUGGUUAGAGCGCGCGCUUGAUAAGCGUGAGGUCGGAAGUUCAAGUCUUCCCAGGCCCACCAGCCUUCGCGCUUCGCUGCUUCGGCUAGGCAAGCCCUUCGAGAUGAAGGCUGCUGCGCCGCAGCCUUGGCGAAGGCGAGCGGGUAUCAACAAUGCGCUUCGUCUUCUGGUACGGGGCCAUAGCUCAGCUGGGAGAGCGCGUGCUUUGCAAGCAUGAGGUCGUCGGUUCGAUCCCGUCUGGCUCCACCAGAUGGAAUUGAAGCUCGAGAAUGCGCCUUGUGCAGGAAGCUCUGUUCAUGUCGUCCGCGAAACAUCACUUCGCACUCAUUGGUCCGGAUGGACGGUGACGUGCGUGUUUUCUGACAUCGUAAAGAGGAGAUCGAUCCGAGUUUGGAUCUGCGAAGCAAUUCGCGGGUACCAUUCCUAAUCUCCAGAUCGUUUUCGGCGCUCGCGCAUCGCGGCUCAUCGCAAGAUGAGUGGGAUGAUCGAG